UUUGUAUAAUGGGUCAGCGACUUAUAUUCAGUGGCAAGGUUAACCAUCUAGGGGAGCCGUAGGGAAACCGAGUCUUAACUGGGCGUUCAGUCUCUGGAUAUAGACCCGAAACCAGGUGAUCUAGCCAUGGGCAGGUUGAAGGUUGAGUAACAUCAACUGGAGGACCGAACCGACUAAUGUUGAAAAAUUAGCGGAUGACUUGUGGCUAGGGGUGAAAGGCCAAUCAAACCUGGAGAUAGCUGGUUCUCCCCGAAAGCUAUUUAGGUAGCGCCUCGGACGAAUACUACUGGGGGUAGAGCACUGUUAAGGCUAGGGGGUCAUCCCGACUUACCAACCCUUUGCAAACUCCGAAUACCAGUAAGUACUAUCCGGGAGACACACGGCGGGUGCUAACGUCCGUCGUGGAGAGGGAAACAACCCAGACCGCCAGCUAAGGUCCCAAAUUACUACUAAGUGGGAAACGAUGUGGGAAGGCUCAGACAGCCAGGAUGUUGGCUUAGAAGCAGCCAUCAUUUAAAGAAAGCGUAAUAGCUCACUGGUCGAGUCGGCCUGCGCGGAAGAUGUAACGGGGCUAAGUAGUAAACCGAAGCUGCGGCAAUGUGCUUUUGCACAUUGGGUAGGGGAGCGUUCUGUAAGCGGUUGAAGGUGUGUGGUAACGCAUGCUGGACGUAUCAGAAGUGCGAAUGCUGACAUGAGUAACGAUAAAGGGGGUGAAAAACCUCCUCGCCGGAAGACCAAGGGUUCCUGUCCAACGUUAAUCGGGGCAGGGUAAGUCGACCCCUAAGGCGAGGCCGAAAGGCGUAGUCGAUGGGAAACGGGUUAAUAUUCCCGUACUUCUUACAAUUGCGAUGGGGGGACGGAGAAGGCUAGGUGGGCCUGGCGACGGUUGUCCAGGUUCAAGUGCGUAGGCUUAAGAGUUAGGUAAAUCCGGCUCUUUUUAA
rnacentral:rRNA from 1 species